UUAUCGAGAUUUCAUUUAACACACAAAGAUUUUCCGAAAAAGCUGUACGAUCCACGUUUCAAACAGAACCUAUUUAAAAGUUCCUUA